UUUGCACAAUAAACCAGGGUGAUUUACACUAGCUCAGCGUACGUGAAAUCGAUUAAAAAAAAGGCUAACAGCUACGGUGUCUGCCGAUGAGAUGGGGGUAACGACCAUAGAUUGUAAUUCAGUAGCAACGGCCCAAUCACCGGGCUCGACACAUGACAUCCAGUGGCAACGGCCCAAUCCCCGGGCUCGACACAUGACAUCCAGUGGCAACGGCCCAAUCCCCGGGCUCGACAGAUGACAUCCAGUUGAGGCCGUGCCGUGGAAGCUAACGAAGUAGCCAACGGAAGCUAACGAAGUAGCCGAGCAGCUAGCUAGGUGUGUUUUUGCUCUGUUACAUCUCAGGAAACGAAUACGACGCCAAAGCAACUCCUCUCGACUGGCUCGCCAGCUAGCUGCUCAGCUAGCCCGCUAGCUAUCAACAAUAAUCCGGGUCGGACCGAUUCGUUCUUCAUUCGUCAACCAGCGGGGAAUGUUUAAACUUUAAUGUAUGGGAAAACAUUCGUUCUUCGGUCUUUAAGUCGGUCUGUGCCGACAUCAAUACAGAAUGGAGCUAAUUUCGACAAUAAAUGAGAAAUUUGACGAUUGUUGCGAUGAUCGAGAGUCUCUCCUCUCGUAGAACAAAAUGCCGACCGGAAGUUCUGUCGUCGGACUGACCAAAGAUCUCAGGAGUGACUCCCUCCAUCGGCGCCAAACGAAAUGCCAUGUGAUGUGUCGCGUAACAACCGCUAGAGGGUAGCGUUGAACAAGUUUCUGCAAAUAUUUCCCCAUAAGAGGUUGCUUUUGACGGACUUGAUGAUGAUCAUGGCGUGUGGUGCUUUUGGUCAAUAAAUUCAAAGACAACAAACCAAGUAGUUGGAACCCAUGAACAAACAGCAUUUACGUUUGAAUAGCAUUUUAUGUGUUAUUAAGUGGAGAUCUUUGAUAUGCAUGUUCUUUUAUUUUAAGAUAAACUACUUUUAUUUACUGAGAAACUAGGCCUGCUGCCACGGAUUUCAUUCACCGUUAGUGGUUUUCAAAAUUGUCAAAACAUUUGGGUUUGUUAAGGAGUCAAUGCCCCUAAAGAUUUAUUGUAUCUGUUUCUGCCAGUUCAUUAUUCUAUGAUUCACAGUUCUAUAUGUAUCUUUAAACAAGGGUGGAAGGUGCAAGGAAGUACAUACAUGUUAGACUCGGUUUUGUUUGAUAUGAUUAUUUAUUUUCUCCUUUUAAAUAUACUACUCACACAAUUUGUUUCAAGCUACAUGAAACAUAAUUUAAAAUAGUAUAUGGGGCCUCAAAUAUGUAAACAAAUUGAUACUUAAAGGAUGCAGUUAUUUCCAAAUGUCAUUGGGUUUUGAAUGUAGACAAUCAAUCAACACUACAAUUAUUAAUCAUUCAUUUUUUAUUUAAAAAAAAAUCUCUGCGGGGGGGGGGGGGGGGGGGGGGGAGGUUUUACAAAGAUAAAGUUGGAUAAAAAAUGAUGACAGCCAUUGUAAACAUUAGAAUUUCAGGGUGUUUAGACAAAAUGGUCCAUUUCAAUCCAGUAAUGCAAGGCAAUCUCAUUGUGGUUUUCAAGUUCUAAAGCAGGAGGAUCCUCUUCAAGUACCCUGUACAUGUCACUUCUAAAGUUAAUAUACUCUACAUCCAUAUCUACAUUUCUCUAUACAACUUCUAUUAAGUCCUCUGUACUCAUCAUUUUGAAAUAGAAAAAAAAGCUCAAUAAAUGGAAUAAGAUAAUAUAAAAGUAUGUUAUUAUAGAGCAAAAAAAAACGUAAUGUAUAUAGAACAAGCAACUACAAUUGAAAAUAUUAAACUCUAAAAUGUACUAUUGUUUACCAUUAAUUUAAAAUCGCCCAAGAAUAAUAAGCAUGCAAAAUAUACACAGAACUGAAAUACAUCAAAUGUGUGGAAUGAAGGGAAAGAAAGUUAUCUAAUUAUAAAAUAAGUUACUUUCUCCUCCUUGGGGUUUUUGAAUUAUUUGGUUUAAGAAUACUAACAAUACUUAUUCUCACUUUUGAUUAUUCAGUUUUUAGGCAAUUAUUUGAUGCAAACAUAUAUUGUCUAAACAUAUUUGGACCCAAUGUGGAAAAUAGACAGAUCCUAAUUCUAAUUUCCAUAAAACAUUUUCGGGACAGCAAUCCAUGUAGCCUUCUCCAUAUAAAAAAAACAACAACUCAAAUGUCUAUGGAAAACUUUGGAUAAAAACUCUUUUAUUCCAAUGGAAAGCUAUUAAACAUUUGGUUGGAAGUUGGUCUCAUGAAACUUUCCUUUCGUUGCCAUUUAUAACAAACUGUAUUCUCUGAAGGCAAAAAAAAAAAA